rnacentral:ncRNA from 1 species
CUUAUCACGAGUGGCAGAGGGGACGGGCCCGAUGAAGUCACGGCAACCGGCUGAAUUGCUUCAGCGGCUCGGUGCCAAAUCCCGCAGCGGAGCACACCCACGAUAGAGGAACGCUGACAGAUAA